UCUGAUGUUAGCGGCGGACGGGUGAGUAACACGUGGAUAACCUACCUAUAAGACUGGGAUAACUUCGGGAAACCGGAGCUAAUACCGGAUAAUAUUUUGAACCGCAUGGUUCAAAAGUGAAAGACGUUCUUGCUGUCACUUAUAGAUGGAUCCGCGCUGCAUUAGCUAGGUUGGUAAGUUAACGGCUAACCAAGGCAACGAUGCAUAGCCGACCUGAGAGGGUGAUCGGGCCACACUGGAACUGUGACACGGUCCAGACUCCUACGGGAGGCAGCAGUAGGGAAUCUUCCGCAAUGGGCGAAAGCCUGACGGAGCAACGCCGCGUGAGUGAUGAAGGUCUUCGGAUCGUAAAAACUCUGUUAUUAGGGAAGAACAUAUGUGUAAGUAACUGUGCACAUCUUGACGGUACCUAAUCAGAAAGCCACGGCUAACUACGUGCCAGCAGCCGCGGUAAUACGUAGGUGGCAAGCGUUAUCCGGAAUUAUUGGGCGUAAAGCGCGCGUAGGCGGUUUUUUAAGUCUGACGUGAAAGCCCACGGCUCAACCGUGGAGGGUCAUUGGAAACUGGAAAACUUGAGUGCAGAAGAGGAAAGUGGAAUUCCAUGUGUAGCGGUGAAAUGCGCAGAGAUAUGGAGGAACACCAGUGGCGAAGGCGACUUUCUGGUCUGUAACUGACGCUGAUGUGCGAAAGCGUGGGGAUCAAACAGGAUUAGAUACCCUGGUAGUCCACGCCGUAAACGAUGAGUGCUAAGUGUUAGGGGGUUUCCGCCCCCUUAGUGCUGCAGCUAACGCAUUAAGCACUCCGCCUGGGGAGUACGACCGCA
rnacentral:rRNA from 1 species